GGCCCCUUAGCUCAAUCGGUAGAGCUCCCGAAUCUUAAUCGGUAGGUUGUAGGUUCGAGUCCUACAGGGGCCACCA
rnacentral:tRNA from 1 species